UCGCUUCAGCAGCACAUAUGCUAAAAUUGGAACAUUACAGAGAGGAUUAGCUGGCCCCUGCACAAGGAUGACAUGCAAACCCAUGAACAGGCAGAGCUAUGC